AUACUCUCUCUGUAGUCAGACCCCCUGCCUCAAAGAGUCAGAGUUUGCACUGGCAGGACUGUCCAGAAAGCUGGCAUUUUAAAAUGGCACAGCUUUUUUCCUGCUACAGCU